GCCCGCCUAGCUCAAUCGGAUAGAGCGUCAGACUCUUACUAGGUAGUGGUAUCUGAAGGCUGCGAGUUCGACCCUCGCGGUGGGCU
rnacentral:tRNA from 1 species